rnacentral:RNase_P_RNA from 1 species
GUAAACCGCCGAUGGCUGCUUGCAGCACAGGUAAGGGUGAAAGGGUGCGGUAAGAGCGCACCGCGCAACUGGUAACAGUUUGUGGCACGGUAAACUCCACCCGGAGCAAGGUCAAAUAGGGGUUCUUUGGCGCGGCCCGCGUUGAACCCGGGUAGACUGCUUGAGGGUCAGGGCAACCUGAUCACUAGAUGAAUGAUUGUCCACGACAGAACCCGGCUUAUCGGCUGGCAAUUUUU